CACAGGCACAUUUCAGGACAGAGUAGGGCUCGGCACUCUAGCACUGCAAAGGGCUUUAGAAACCAUAGACCGGAAGGGUGAGGACGCACUGGGAAGGCGAAGUAAGGCAAGAAAUAGAAGCCGCGUGUGAGUGCACAACGCUAUGGAGGAGCCUGUGGUAGAAGGCUUCAAACAGACUGUUGGUGAAAGGUGUGCUGCCAUCUUGGAUUGGUGAUUGGUCAAUGCCCAGUAGUGUGGAAAGGGAAAGGGGCACACCCAAUGGCCUGGGGCUCUAAUUCUCUGUAUCUGCCACAGGAACCCCAAAUUGUUGCACAAGUGCAAGGAGAGAGAGACAGGGUGGAAUGUUCUUCGUUUCCUUGUUGUUUGUUAUAGAACCAGAAGCAACCUCAAUGUCCAUCAGCACAGUUACAGGUAAAUAAACCCUAGUCCGUGGUACCUCUGAGGUUGGGGAUAGGUGCUUAAAAGGAAUCUUCCAUCACCUUUAAGCUGUUCGUUAUUUUAACCAGACAAAUGCGUUUCUGUAUCAGUCAUGCCAUUAAAAGGUAAUUGAGAGCACAGGACAAUGCGUGUGGCAUUUUGCAAGGACUGUCUCCGUAGAGCAGAAGGAGUGGAGAGGAGAUCACAACGUCUUGAGGAGUAAACAGGAGGUAAAGGGACAGAAACCGAAGCUGGGGGAAUGAGGGAAAGAGGACUAGAAGGCUACAGAGAGACUCAGGUCAGGGAAAGAAGCAAGGGAAAGUUCUUUGUUGGUUCACUUUAAAAAAUUUUUUUUGAUGCUUUUAUUUAUUUUUGAGAGAGAGAAAGAGACAGAGUGCCAUCAGGGGAGGGGCACAGAGAGAGGGAGACACAGAAUCCGAAGCAGGUUCCAGGCUCUGAGCCGUCAGCACAGAGCCCAACGUGGAACUCGAACCUCGAGAUCAUGACCUGAGGCGAAGUCGGAUGCCUGACCGACUGAGCCACCCAGGCACCCCUUUGUUGGUUCACUUUUAACGGGGGUGACGGAAAAACCCAAUAAAAGGACAUUUUGACUUCUCCUGACAGGGCAUUACCACUACAGUAGAGCAUGGGGUUUACUUCUGACCCAAGCUCACCCCUAUAAUUUAGUUCCUGACUCUUCUGAUGUAGAAAAGUCUAGAAGAAUUUUGAUGGGAAAUUAAAAUGGUUUCAUUGGUGGGAUAGGACCACGAUACCCGUAUGAAGAUGAAAUAUUCAUUUGGGGGCAAUGUUGUUUAAAAUAGAACACAGAGGAACAUCCAUUUGAUUAAAUGUUAUAAUAAUGAGUGGGGCAGAUUAAAAAUCGGGGUUUCCAGGUUUUCAAAUUUUAAAACAGAGCGAAAUGCUAGUAAUACAAUGUUUGACUUUUCAAAUGCAUGCUGCAAAACUUCCUGUGUGGUUGAGUCUAGUUGCACUCACAAAAAUGAGGAGAGGCGUAAGGAGAAAAAGAAGGAAAGCAUUCAAUUGUCAACAAUGCUUUGCUCUGGGUGAUGGAGAAGUUGGUGAUUUUACUUUUCCUGCAUUUCUGUUGAUGGGACAGUUUUCUAUUGAAAACAUUGUUGCUUUCAUCAUUCCCCAAAGGAACUGUUUUUAAAACUGUAGUUUGAAAAUCAUUUAUGAGGGAAGACAGCCAAGGAAGGAUUCCUGUUUGGCAAGGAAUCAGGCAGGCUGGCCCUCAGCAGCCUUUUGGAGACUUUUUUUUCCCCCUUUUACCCAAAUGUCAAAUGUCAGGCUUCCACACAGUGUGACAGAACCUACAACGAUCAACUUCCCCAAUGCCGGGCGACAAAUGUCAACUCCUCCCCACUCCCAACCAAAGGCCUGUUGUGUGUUCUUAACCCUCAAAGAGAAAACACAGAACUCGGCGGGCUGGGAUAUGAGCUGGCAAGAGAGGGCUGACCCUGAAUGGGUUAUGUGACAUAUAAAGAGAAGAAGGUCGCUCCUCUCCCUCCUCCUGAAGCCCCUCCUUUCCCUCAACAUGGCAGGAAGCAACGCAGCCUCAUGAUUAAGCCUGUGAACUCUGCCUUCGAACACACCCGUAUGGAAUCCCUGCUCUCACUGAACAGCUCUGGGGCUUCUGUGAACUCUGGAAGCAACCAAAAUAGGGGAAGAACCAAUCUGGAGAGGAUAGCCUUCUGUGUGGACCCAGGGGCUUUGGCCCUCAUAGCUACCUGGCCCCAGAGACCCCAUGGAGGACCACCAGGCUUACAGUCACCCAUCGUCGCUCUGGGAAACACCAGUGACUGUCUCUGCCUUACUAGCCUGCUAAUUUCCAGUUGGCCACUUUGUGUUCACUGAUGGCAUGAGGAAGGUCUAGCAUGCGGAGACGUAUUUCUACUCCCCGUGCGGACCCCCUUUUAAGAAGGCUUCAAAAGGGACAUGCAGAGGAUGCUUAAAACCCACCCUCAUCAUUCUUACCAUUCUGCAAAGCGCAUGCCCUGCGUCUGCGGCUUGGGUGAGUUAAUAAUUGAAAUCCUCUUCCUUUCCAAAAUUGUCUUGAAAGUAGGAAGGCUAGCUGAUUUACCUUUUGGUGGCUUAAGAUCCACGUGGGACUAUUUGGCCUAAGAAAUGGCGUUUGUCAGGUCCGGAUUGUAGAAAUCUGUUCCCUUCUGGGGGUGGGGGGCCAGUCGGAGAAGGAGCCAGCGGGACACAGAUUCCAGUCUCUUGGAGUCUGAUUUAAUGGGGCUCCACUGCCAUUGCCUCUGGACUGUUUGCAAGCAAACAAGGACAGUCCAGCUCAAGCGUGUGCGUGUGUGUGCGCGUGUGUGUGUUGAAAUCCUGGGUAGCUGGCUCCAAGAAAGAGCAGGGGGAAUGCGACAAAAACCGAAGCACUUAACUUUCUUUCUCUUUUCCCUCCGUUUUUGGCAUUUCUUUAGGCAUGCCUCCCCUCCCCUGGAUGAUGAAUUCACGAGGGACCUCAUGGACUGCUGAGAACAAGCACGCUUUUGAAUGAACUCUUUUACGGGUAUCAGUCCAAAAGUCACCAUCAGCUGCAACUGAAAAGCAGAGUGGGUUUUGUUUUUGUUUUUGUUGUUUUGUUUUUGUUUUUGUUUUUCCCCCCAGUGGCGGCCAGUUCGGCUCAAAAGCUCAGUUCUUGGAAGGGCCACUUCUUCUUGCCACUGGAGAAGACACACCUCCCUGUGCACCUAAAAAUAAAAAGUAAAUAAAUAAAUGAGUUUGUAAAUUUUUAACGAGGUCCCUCCGGCCCCUCCUGCAGGCCAUAAUUCCCUUUCAGUUUCAGAGAGUGUGUUUCGUGUCUCCACGUGCACAGCUCUGCCUUCCAAGUGGCCCUUCUGGGCUCCGCAGUUUGAGGAACUUGGGUCCCUCAAGGCAGAGCCUUCUCCUGAGCUCAUCUGGGGAGUCUCUGCUCUUUUUCACAGGAGUUCAGCGGGAGGCAUGGAAAUUAGUAUUGUCUGUAAACGCACCAGGAAUGAGCUCUCAACUAAAAAACAAA